ACCUGGUCAUCUAUUGACAGCACGUAUAUACUAAAAUUGGACUGAUAUGAAGAUUAGCAUCCUCUCUGCACAAGGAUGGCCUUCAAAUUUAUGAAGCAUUCCAUACUUAA
ensembl:snRNA U6 U6 spliceosomal RNA